rnacentral:rRNA from 1 species
CCUACGGGAGACAGCAGUGGGGAAUAUUGCACAAUGGGGGGAACCCUGAUGCAGCAACGCCGCGUGGGUGAAGAAGUACUCCGGUAUGUAAAGCCCUGUCAGCAGGGAAGAAAAUGACGGCACCUGACCAAGAAUCCACGGCUAACUACGUGCCAGCAGCCGAGGCAAUACGUCGGGGGCAAGCGUUAUCCGGAUUUUCUGGGUGUAAAGGGGGCGUAGACGGGAAGGCAAGUCGGGAGUGAAAGCCCGUGGCCCAACCACGAGACUGCUUUGGAAACUGGGUUGCUGGAGUGCAGGAGGGGUAAGCGGAAUUCCUGGUGUAGCGGUGAAAUGCGUAGAUAUUAGGAGGAACACCGGUGGCGAAGGCGGCUUACUGGACUGUAACUGACGUUGAGGCUCGAAGGCGUGGGGAGCAAACAGGAUUAGAUACCCUGGUAGUC